AUUGAACGCUGGCGGCAUGCCUUACACAUGCAAGUCGAACGGCAGCAUGGAGAGCUUGCUCUCUGAUGGCGAGUGGCGAACGGGUGAGUAAUGCAUCGGAACGUACCGUGUAAUGGGGGAUAACGUAGCGAAAGUUACGCUAAUACCGCAUACGACCUGAGGGUGAAAGCAGGGGAUCGCAAGACCUUGCGUUAUACGAGCGGCCGAUGUCAGAUUAGCUAGUUGGUAGGGUAAAGGCCUACCAAGGCGACGAUCUGUAGCGGGUCUGAGAGGAUGAUCCGCAGCGCUGGGACUGAGACACGGCGCAGACUCCUACGGGAGGCAGCAGUGGGGAAGUUUGGACAAUGGGGGAAACCCUGAUCCAGCCAUGCCGCGUGAGUGAAGAAGGCCUUCGGGUUGUAAAGCUCUUUCGGCUGGGAAGAAAUCGCACAGGCUAAUACUCUGUGUGGAUGACGGUACCAGCAUAAGAAGCACCGGCUAACUACGUGCCAGCCGCCGCCGUAA
rnacentral:rRNA from 1 species